UGUAGGCCUCGUUAUUGAUAUUAUCCCAUACUCUUUCCAUAUUAAAGAAGGAUGUGCAAUUUCCAUGACACAUACACGAGUCAGAGAGACCCUCUCGGUGCAUUCGUGAAUCAAUCACCGACACUGAAACCCUAAACCCUGAACCCUAACAGCGUCACCUUGAAAGGUCUGUUGGCGAUGGGAGGAAUGAGGAAACGGGCCGAAGAGGAAAUCAGGUUUUGUCUUGUAUUGGGUUGUUGUUUGAUUGUGUGCUUGAUUAUGUGUGUGUGUGGCAGAGAGAUGUCAUCACCAAUUCCUUGUGCCGGGAAUCCUCCUGUGUCCUUGUGUGCAGUGUGUGGAGUGCCGAAGGAGGCGCACAUCCACAUGUGACACAGCCCAUCUGGGCCAUAUGCGCCGUUGUACCCCGAGAUUCGUGACUGGCCUCUUCUGUAAAAGUUUCUUUGGCCACGGCUCCUCAUGCAAUCGUGUUUGAACUAGUGGAUUGUGGGACGAGACAUGCAUCAGAGACACGGCAAGGGAAGGGCUGAGGAGCUGAGACGGCUUUGCUUCGAGCAGAGCGGAAGUUCCUUGCAGCAAUCAGUUACGGAACUGGUGAAACGCUGAGGAGUGGAGCAUCCGCGUGCGGCAUGCCCACGAUUGUUAUGUUCGUCGAUAAUUCGUCUGCACGAGUUAAAAUCCAUUCUUCACGACUAAACGUGUUGAAGUGUUUCAAAAAUCACGAAUUCUGUGACAAGCGUUGCGGUUCAUCAGGACCAAUUUAUGGAGAAUAGGAUUUACCGUAUGAAUGAUUUGUACACCUGGGGAAAGGAGAAAACAAACAUUUUUUAAUGCCAUGUUCGUGUCCCUUAGUUCAAACUCCCCUGUCCAGAUUUUCAGUGCAACAGGAUUGCCACUAUAAAAUCUCAACAGUGUUAGUUCUCGAAUCUGUCACGAUGCGUUUGAUUUAAAAAUUUCGAGGUUAGGGCUUCUUUGGGAGGCCUUUCGCCGGAAAGAAAGCGAGAAAAUAAAUAAAUGAUCUUAUUUUUAGGUCAUUUCUUCUCUUCCCAGAAUUCGGCAUAUAUCCGAUAACCCCAUACUGGCAGCGGAAAAAACUAGGCCAGACACUAGUGAUUA